rnacentral:rRNA from 1 species
UACGUAUGGUGCAAGCGUUAUCCGGAUUUACUGGGUGUAAAGGGAGCGCAGGCGGCACGGCAAGCCUGAUGUGAAAGCCCGCGGCCCAACCGCGGGACUGCAUUGGGAACCACCGGGCUGGAGUGCCGGAGAGGUAGGCGGAAUUCCUAGUGUAGCGGUGAAAUGCGUAGAUAUUAGGAGGAACACCAGUGGCGAAGGCGGCCUACUGGACGGUGACUGACGCUGAGGCUCGAAAGCGUGGGGAGCAAACAGG